CCCGCUCAGAAACUCAAGGCAUUGACGGGGCCCGCACAAGCGGUGGAGCAUGUGGUUUAAUUCGAUGAUACGCGAGGAACCUUACCUGGGCUCAAAUGUAUGUUGACGUAUUCUGAAAGGGAUACUUCUUCGGACAAUAUACAAGGUGCUGCAUGGUUGUCGUCAGCUCGUGCCGUGAGGUGUCGGGUUAAGUCCCAUAACGAGCGCAACCCUACCUUUAGUUGCCAUCAGGUAAUGCUGGGGACUCUAAAGGAACUGCCUACGCAAGUAGUGAGGAAGGCGGGGAUGACGUCAAAUCAGCACGGCCCUUACGUCCAGGGCUACACACGUGCUACAAUGGCCGAUACAGAGGGCAGCUACCUGGUGACAGGAUGCAAAUCUCCAAAGUCGGUCUCAGUUCGGAUCGGAGUCUGCAACCCGACUCCGUGAAGUUGGAUUCGCUAGUAAUCGCGCAUCAGCCAUGGCGCGGUGAAUACGUUCCCGGGCCUU
rnacentral:rRNA from 1 species